UACGUAGGUGGCAAGCGUUAUCCGGAUUUACUGGGCGUAAAGCGCCCGUAGGCGGCCUGACAAGUUGGACGUGAAAGCUCCUGGCUUAACUGGGAGAGGCCGUUCAAAACUGUCAAGCUAGAGUCUGGAAGAGGAGAGCGGAAUUCCCGGUGUAGUGGUGGAAUGCGUAGAGAUCGGGAGGAACACCGGUGGCGAAGGCGGCGACCUGGGUAGAUACUGACGCUGAGGUGCGAAAGCGUGGGGAGCAAACAGG
rnacentral:rRNA from 1 species